rnacentral:lncRNA from 1 species
UCGGCGUGACUCGGAGCCUUAGGAUCGUGGCCUUACUGGAGAGUAGCUAGAAUGACGCGUCUGUUGGGAUGGCUUCUAGAAUCUUCUGCUUGUGGAGCGAGGAGAAAGAGAGGCAGAAACCCUAGGGUUUCAUGCCUCGAUGUAACAGUUUGGGCCAGUAAUGUAACGGGUUUGGGUCUGCUGAGUUGUAACCGGGCAUAAGGUUUAGGCCAAUUGGUUUUGGGUUUACUGGUUGGUGGGCCAAUGUAAAUGGACUGUUACAUGGACUGUUUUAAAAACAAUUGUUUAUUUAUUUAUUUAUUUGGUUUACAGCCCGGUCAAAUUUGGGUUACUACAGUUGCCUCACUUUGCUCAUUGCUGUAUAACGGGAAUCGAGCAAAGAUUUAGAAAGACCAAAUUUGACCGGUCCUAUCAAAUCAUAGUCUUCAAUCUUCUUGACUGUCAUGUUGAUAUCUUCGAUCUACUCUCCGCCGAACAUAGAGACGCCAAAUCUGCUUCUUCGAUUCGUUCUUUGACAAUACAGAGAUGACACAUCAUCUUAGAUUUGCUUCAUCGUAAGCACGUGAAAGCCAAAUCAGCUAUGCCUUCGAUUUGUUCCUUGUAAGCACAAGGAUGCCAAAUCAUCUUAGAUCUUGCUUCAGUCUAAUCGUUUGAAGGUCAGAUCUGCUAUGUAUCUACUCUCUAUUGAAGCGGAGAUGCCAGACUUCGAUUUGUUCUCAGAGAUGACAAAUCAUCUUAUAUUUGCUUCAUCGUAAACACGUGAAAGCCAAAUCAACUAUGUCUUCGAUUUGUUCCUUGUAAGCAUAAGGAUGCCAAAUCAUCUUAGAUCUUGCUUCAGUCUAAUCGUCUGAAGGUCAGAUUUGCUGUGUAUCUGCUCUCCAUUGAAGUGGAGAUGCCAGACUUCGAUUUGUUCUCUGACAAUACAGAGAUGACAAAUCAUCUUAGAUUUGCUUUAUCGUAACACGUGAAAGCCAAAUCAACUAUGUCUUUGAUUUGUUCCUUAUAAGCACAAGGAUGCCAAAUCAUCUUGGAUCUUGCUUCAGUCUAAUCAUCUGAAGGUGAGAUCUGCCAUGUGUCUGCCUUCCAUCAAAGUGGAAAUGCCAGACUUCGACUUGUUCUCUGGCAAUACAGAGACGACAAAUCAUCUUAGAUUUGCUUCAUCGUAAACACGUGAAAGCUAAAUCAGCUAUAUCUUCGAUCUAUUCCCUGCAGAAUACAGAGAGAUAAGAUCUGUCAUCUUGGAUCUGCCCCGAUGUAGGUUAGAUCUGCUAUGCUGUGGCCUAUUACCCUACUAUUUUAGAGUUUAAAGCGCGCUGUCUUCAAUAACCUGUAGAAUGAUUAUGCUUGAUAAUUUAGGAUGCUAUGCUCGAAGUGAGUCGAAUGUUCCUAAUUAAACAUGUUAUGAUGCAAAACGUCAUGAAUAUGACCCUUAUCCUAGACGUCAUCAUUUAUUCCUUCAUUUGUCUUUUCUUUUCUAAAAGUUUCAUUCAUGCUCAUUCUGCAAGCCAUCCUCCAAUGCUACGAUCCACUGAGGAUGUCAGUAAGAACUGAAUUAUUGGUUUUGUCUAUUUUCCUUUUGGACUGGAAGAAAGGAAUUCCUCGAGUUCUUUCAUCCCUUACUUACGUGAAUUUCUCGAGCAAUUGUCCUGUUUUAGUUUCUUUUGUUAUCUAGAAAUUUCAGAGUAAUGCGCAAAACUUCAUUUGUGAACAUAUUUAGUUCAUCUAUCAUUAUUUCAAUGCAACAUACUUAAAGAAUAGUGAGUCAAUUUUUAAGAAUAAUUGGAUUUGAAUGAAUUAUCAAAAAGAUACAAAAGGGAAUUAAUCUGCUAGCCUAUCUUCUAGAAGAAAUAGAAUCUAAAGAUAGCAAACAAGAUAGAAGUUAGAUCCUCUAGAUAUCACCGCUUGAGUGCCUAUACACCAGCUCCAUGAAGUCUUUCUUGAGUUCAACAUGUGUUUAAAAGAUCCUAAGUACUCUGUUGAUGCCCCAGUUUGCAGCAUUCUUCGCUCUUUGUAGCAAGAUCGAUGUGUACUCUUCAAAAUUUGAGCUGCCCUUUCGGGUUUUCAACUCAAAACCCCUUUGGUCACAAGGUGCCCUUUGCGGGUUUUCACCUUGGCCUCUCCGGUUUUUUUUUUUUAAAAUCUCAAGGCGCCCUUUGCGGGUUUUCACAUUAGAUUCUCUUCUUUUUUAGAAAAAUUAUUUUUUAACUGAGUCCGAGUUCACUGGAUUGGGUAAACUUUUCCCAUCCAUUUCCGCUAAGAUCAAUGCACCACCUGAGAAAGCUUUCUUUACGACAUACAGCCCUUCCCAAUUUGGCAUCCAUUUUCCUCUAAAAUCCUUUUGAAUGGGAAGGAUCUUUUUCAGUACAAGGUCUCCCUCCUGGAAUUCUCUUGGUCGAACUUUCUGACCAUGUCGAAUGGCUUUUAACCUCUUUCCCUCAAUCAAGUUCAACUGGUCAUAUCGAGAUUGAACCCACUCAGCUUCAUCUAACUUUACCUCUGUCAAAAUUCGAAGAGAAGGUAUUUCUACUUCAAUAGGUAAUACUUCUUCCAUUCCAUAAACUAGCGAGAAUAGAGUUGCCCCAGUAGAGGUUCUGACAGAUGUUCGAUAGGCGAGGAGUGCAAAUGGCAACUUCUCAUGCCAAUCUCUAUAGGUCUCAGUCAUCUUCCCCACUAUUUCUUAAUAUUCUUGUUGGCAGCUUCCACUGCCCCAUUCAUUUUUGGACGAUAGGGAAAAGAAUUGUGAUGCUUUAUCUAGAACUGGUCGCAAACCUCCAUUAUCGUUUUGUUAUUUAAGUUCAAUGCAUUGUCAGAUAUGAUCUUCUCAGGCAUUCUAUAUCGACAAAUGAUCUCCUUCUUCAAGAAUCGAAUCACUGCUGACUUAGUAACAUUCGCAUAAGAGGCGGCCUCUACCCACUUUGUAAAGUAGUCAAUUACCAGGAAAAUAAACUGAUGUCCAUUUGAAGCUUUUGGUGAUAUUGGUCCAAUAACAUCCACGCCCCACAUGGAAAAAGGGCCAUGGAGAAGUCAUAACAUGCAAAGGUGAAGGUGGAACAUGAAUUUUGUCCCUAUAAAUCUGACAUUUAUGGCACUUCUUGGUGUAGUUAAUACAGUCUCCUUCCAUAGUGGCCCAAUAAUAGCCAAACCUUAUGAUUUUCCUUGCCAUCGUGAACCCAUUUGCAUGUGUCCCGCACACACCUUCAUGAACUUCUUCUAAAAUUAGCUUAGCUUCCACAGCAUCGACACAUCUCAAAAGUACUUGGUCUUUCCGUCUCUUGUACAGGAUAUCUCCAUCUAAAACAUAGUCGCAAGCUAACCUUCUCAAAGUUCGUUUGUCAUUUCCACUGGCCUAUUUAGGGUAUUUACGAUCUCUCACAUAUCGAAAUAUAUCUUGAUACCAGGGGUUAUUGUCAUUUCCUUCCUUCUCAAUGUUACAACAAUGAGCUAGAGCCUCGUAAACACUCAUUUGAAUUGGCUUCAUUUCUUCUUCUUUAUUCGCCUUGAUCAUUGAGGCCAAGGUUGCUAAAGCAUCUGCCAUCUAAUUUUCAUCUCGUGGGAGAUAAUUGAAGGUGAUGUCAUCAAACUCCUCAAGUAACCCCAAAACUACCUUUCGAUAACUAAUCAAUUUAGGGUCCUUUGUCUCCCAUUCGCCUCUAAGCUGAUAAACUACCAACGCCGAAUCUCCAUAUACUUCUAGGGUUUUUAUACCUCGCUCUAUAGCUGCUUGAAGUCCCAUGAUGCAUGCUUCAUACUCAGCCAUAUUGUUCGUGCAAUCAAAGUCCAACUUGCACGUAAAAGGGUAAUGAUCGUCAUUCGGAGAUACCAAGACUGCCCCAGUUCCAUUUCUGACUGCAUUAGAAGCCCCAUCAAAAUUGAGCUUCCAAGAAAAAUUUUCAGUCAUUGCUAUACACAUCAACUCCUCAUUUGGAAAAUCGAAGUUCAAUGGCUCAUAAUCCUCUAGAGCCCUACUGCCAAGAAGUCUACUACCGCACUUCCUUUUAUAGCCUUCCGACUUAUGUAGACUAUAUCAAACUCUGAAAGAAAAUUUUACCGUCUUGCCAUUCUCCCAUUUAGAGCCGUUGACUCCAUCAUGUAUUUCAAUGGAUCAAGUUUUGAGAUGAGCCAAGUGGUAUUAUAUAGCAUGUACUGUCUUAAUCUCCGAGUUGUCCAAAUCAGCGCACAACACAACUUUUCAAUUGUUGCAUAUCUCAUCUCACAGUCAGUGAAUUUCUUACUAAGAUAAUAAAUUGCCUUUUUCUUUUUCCCUGACUCGUCAUGCUGGCCAAGCACACAUCCCAUAGAAUUACUGAACACUGACAAGUACAGUAUUAAUGGUUUAUCUGGACUAGGUGGAGAUAAUACCGAAGCAUUCAAAAAAUACUGCUUGACCUUUUCAAAAGCAUUCUGGCAUUCCUCAUCCCAAGUACCUUGAUUGUGCUUUCUGAGGAGGCGAAAGAUAGGAUCACAUUUCUCGGUUAGUUGUGAAAUGAAUCGAGCAAUGUAAUUCAACCUUCCUAGGAAUCCUCGAACUUCUUUCUGAGUACGUGGUGGAGGUAAUUCUCGUAUGGCUCUAACCUUGUCGGAGUCGACUUCAAUUUCCUUUUCACUGACUACGAAGCCUAAUAACUUUCCCUAUCUGGCUCCAAAAGUGCACUUUGCUGGAUUGAGCUUCAACUAAAAUUUUCUAAACCUCAAGAACAAUCUUCUCAAGACCUCAAUGUGCUCUUUUUCUGUGUGCGACUUAGCAAUCAUAUCAUCAACGUAUACCUCAAUAUCCUUAUGCAUCAUGUCAUGGAAUAAGUUUACCAUGGCCCGUUGGUAUGUUGCCCCUACGUUCUUUAAUCCAAAUGGCAUUACUUUGUAGCAAAAAGUGCCUCAUAAGGUUAUGAAGGUGGUUUUAUCCAAGUCCUCUGGAUGCAUCUUUAUCUGAUUGUAUCUUGAGAAACCAUCCAUGAAGGAGAACAACAAAUAUCCUGCUGUGUUGUCCACCAAAGUGUCUAUGUGUGGCAGAGGGAAAUUAUCUUUGGGGCUAGCUUUAUUUAAAUCUCUGUAAUCAACACACAUUCGUACCUUCCCAUCCUUCUUAGGAACAGGCACAAUGUUAGCUAUCCAUUCGGGACUUAGCCCGGAUACAUCACUAGCACGAAUGCUCUUCGGGACUUAGCCCGGGUAUAUCACUCUCAAUUCUCAUGUACAUAUACACAUAUAGCAAUACACAUUAGUAUAUCAUUUACAUUACUUGAAUACAAACACAACAUGCUUAUCGACCAUUCAACUUCCAGUUCCAUAGCCACAUACAAAAAUCACAUUUAUAGUCAUAACACUCUUUCAAAAUUGCAUCACUUAUACCCUUAUAAUUCAAUCCAAAUCAAAAUUCAAAUACGAGUACAUGAUACGUACCUGAUCAACUUAAUAAUUUAGGCAUAUCUAAGUGAAGUUAUAUCGCAAAUUCUUAUAGUCAGAAGCUUGCUACAGCUCGAUCGGGAUCAAGAUUCAUUACAAUACAGCAAACACAUUUUAAUAGUCGAAAAUCAUCACACUAUCAUUUUAUCACUUUAUGGCAUGUAUAAAUAGACUCAAGCGUGCUACGUUAGUCCUAGAAUCGACUAAACCGUAGCUCUGAUACCAAUAAAAUGUAACACCCCUAUCCCGUAACCGUCGCCGGAAUAGGUAAGGGGCAUUACCGGACUUGUAACUCAUGUCAGAACAGUACAAUUUUAAACUUUUUUCUUGAAAUAAAGAUCAUUCAUUUAAAUAAGUACUAAGCACAGCCAGAGAUAAAAUUUAAACUUCACUAAGUAAACAUUCAAAAGAUGCCAUUUUCGCAUGGCUUAUAUACAUUAACCAAAAAUAUUCUUCCGCCACUAGUCUAUUCUAUACAUGCCAUAAAAUAGUUCUAAACAUAACAGUAACAAGCAGUGGAUAGUGAUAGUGUGACUAGUUGCUGACGAUCCCCGAGCCUGUAGCUUCGCAAUGAGAUCUAUAAAACAGAGGAAACAGAGUAAACGGAGUAAGCAUUACAAUGCUUAGUAAGUUUUAAGCAGUGUCAACAGAUAACAAUCAAAUUAUAACAUAGUUGUUCGUAUUUUUAUUUCACUCUUCCUUCGGGCAUACCAUCCCUUUACCGAAUAUGCACAUCUCAUCAUAUACAAUAGGCAGAUAAACUUUCACAUAAAAGUGAGCUCAUGUGACAUAGAUAUAUCGUAUGAUUUCACAUAACCUCUCACAUUGAUCCGAUGUCACAUAAUCAUAGGAAUAGUCUCAUAGAUUGCUCUCAUAUGCAUCACAUAACUACCUUAUGAUUUAGUGCAAAUCAAGCUCACAUAUAAACUUGGAGUACAUACCUGUUUAACCUUUUGCAUUGAAUAUAUUUAUAAGCAAUUCUUAUUACGAAGUCUUAUAGCUUUAACCUCUACUCGGAUUAUCGGUGAGACCUUUAGCUCAGACGAAAUCUCCACACGAAGUUAUCGGGUCUUACCCGGACAAAAUCUCCACACGUAGUCAUCGGGUCUUACCCGGACAUAAUCUCCACACGUAGUCAUCGGGUCUUACCCGGAAUAUAUUUCCAAGUUUCAUGUACAUUUAUUCACAUGUUACAACAUUCACAUCGACUGUCAUAUUUGUGAUUCAUUUGCCUCAUCAAAUAUCUGAUAAUACACAGCUUUCACAUUUGGUCGUUCGGCCACAAUAUACGCACCUCGCCUACAUAUUUCACACUAGCCAUUCGGCUUUACCACAUAUACAUAUCUCAUACAUAUUUCACACUAGCCAUUCGGCUUUACCACAUAUGCAUGUCUCAUACAUAUUUCAUCACAUUGGCCAUUCGGCCUUAUCACACAUAUGCAUGCUCACAUUCAUCACAUUGGUCAUUCGGCCUUAUCACAUACAUGCAUGUUCACAUUCAUCACAUUGGCCAUUCGGCCUUAUCUCAUAUAUGCACAUUCAUAUUCAUCACAUAAAAUCCUAAAUCAAAAUAUAAAUUUUCAUGUAUUCACAUCACAAUUGUCCAAAUAUACUUCACAUACCACACAUACUAUCAUGUAUACACUUUGUCUUGGCCGAAUCUACAUCAAUCAUUUUCCAAUGAAUAAUUCAAUUUCACGCCAUACUAUCAUUUCAUAUUCGAAUACUCAUAUAUCGUUUUACAAUAUCACGAUUUAGAAUUCACGUAUGGGUUUAAUCAAUAGCUUAUGAGCAACUAAAAUAGUUUUAUCCAUGUUUACAACAAAAUCACAUAUUCACUACGAGCUAUUUUUCCUGAGCAAUAGUCACUAAAUUAUUUAUAACUGGAGCUACGAAACUCCAAAUCACUUGCCGUUAAUUUUCCCUGAAUAUAGACUCGUAUGUCUUCCAUCCAUAAAAUUUCCAGAAUUUUAGGUUUGGCUAAUCAAUACCAGAUUUUUCUUAAAGUUUCCCCUGUUUCACUGUUUGCCUAAUCUGACCGCUCUUCACUUCGAAUCAAAUUUUUCAUUGUGCAGAAUUCAAAAUGUGUUCUAUUUGAUUUCAUUUGAAACUAUACUCAUUAAGGAGUCUAAGCAUAUAAAUUUUAUCUUAUAACCAUUUUUGUACAAAUUAUAAUGAUUUUUCUAAAAACAGAACAGGGGAUUUCGGAGUCAUUCUGACACAGUCCCGCACAACUUUAAAUAUCUCUUUAUAGGCAAUUUCUUUGCUUACACGGUCUCUUUUAUAAGAAACUAGACUAACUAAGCUUUGAUUACAUAUUUUAUUCAGCCUAUAAUUCCACACCAACAAUUUAUAGUGAUUUUCUAAAAUCACGUUACUGCUGCUGUCCAAAGCAAAUUAUUACAAUUUGCUCUUAAAUUUCCAAGUCCAAACACUUAUGAACUUACCAUUUGAGUUUAAGACAUAUCAUGGCCACAUCAUAUCUUAUUAAAUCAACUCAAUAUGUCCUAUUAUGAUUGAAUUUACUCAACGUUUAAUCACUUAAAACUUACCUCGGAAGUGGUCGACGAUUAGAUAUCCACGGCUAUUCGUUUACUUUCUCUUUUCCCCUAUCCGACUUUGAUCCUCUAAGCUCUUGAGCUAAAUCAAACAAUUUACUUCCCAAUCAAACACAAUCACACGGCAUCCAUAUACAUUUUAGAACCAUUCUUAACAUAUUUACUACUCAUUUACAAACGAAAUACUCAUAUCACAUUUAUAAAACUACCUUUCAUAAACACUAUGUAUAAAUAUGCAUUUCUUCACUAUUUACUAAGUCAAGCCAAACCACAUGAUUUAUUAAUCGUUAAUAUAUAUAUACAGCAUUAACAACUUCACUUAAGCUUAAGUAUAAAAUUUGGUCUUACCAAAUUUUGCACAUUUUACCAAAAUAAUAACUACCAAUUUUACACAUAAGUGCCGAAUCAAAUAAUACCACACUUACAAUAUCACUUGACUAAUGAAAUAUCCAAAAUAUCAUUCUAUCAUUUACCAAAUUCAUAAACCACAUAUAAGGCACAUUUUAAACUCAAGCAUGUAACUUAACAACUUAACCAUUAGUUGCCGAACCACAAACAAAACAUAUUCAUACGUUAAUAUCUCAAACCUUACCAUAACAACCAAUAUGCAAGAUAUCACAUAUACAUAACUUAGCUUAUGAGAACAUAUGUAUUACAUCAUAAACACAUCUUUUACCAAUUACCUCACUUAAGCCAAAUUUUUAUAAUCAACCACUAAAAAAUAUACCACAAAUCACACUUCCAAAAUGGGCUACUUCCAUGGCCGAUUAUACUUCAUCAUUAACAUAUCUCAUUUUCGAAUCAUAUAAUCAACAUUUGUUCAAGACAUCAAACCUUUUUAAUUUCGGCUAUUACUAAUAUAAACAUUCACAAAUCAUAUUCUUAGGAAGACCGAUUUCUUUCCAUAACACAUUCAUCAUCAAUACUUAGAUGAAACAAUCAAAAUCCCUUCCUUUAUACCCUAGCCGAAUGCUCCAAUCAUCCAUCAAAAUUACAAAUUUUAGCAUGGGCUAAGUAAGAACCAUGAUUAUUUACCUAAAGCAAGUUAAAAUUUCACAAUUUGACAUAAUAUACUAACCUUUUUAAUGACUCAAGUGACCAAAAAUUCUUCCCCUCCUUUGUUUCUUCUAUUCGGCCAUGUUGAACAACAAAGAAAGAAUUUUGUUUUUCCUCCCCUUUCUCUAGUCACGGCAAUGGGGAGUAAGGGGGAGACAACUUUGGUUUCUCCUCCCACUCCCCUCAUAUUUUAUUAUUCUUCCCACACAUAUUAGCAUAAAAUGUCUAUAAUAUGUUUUUCCCCAUAGCAUGGCCGGCCACCAUCUAGAUUUUUGGCUAAUUUGACAUUCAAACCCUUCUUUUAUACAACAUGCAUUAAUAGGUCCUUAUAGAUUACCCCAUCGCAUUUCAAAAGUGUCACACAUAAGUCCUAUUACUAAAUUCACAUGCAAUCGACUAAAUCGAAACUUAAAACUUUCACACAUUCAUAUUCACAUAUAAUAAACAUAAAAUAUGACGGCUAAUUAUUUUUAUGACUUGAUUUUGUAGUCCCGAAACCACUUUUCGACUAGGGUCAAAUUAGGGGUGUCACAACUCUCCCCCCUUUGGGGAUUUUCGUCCCCGAAAAUUUCUACCGAUGCAUAGUUUAGGAUGACGUCCUCUUGUUGAAUUAUAUUCAUAUAAACAUUAGCUCAUCGAUAGCAAUUGUAAUUCAUUAUUGAUUUCGCAUCGAUCUAUAAAAUCAUUUUCUUAUCUUAAAACAAAUACAUAAACAUUGCUACAAGUAUGCACAUAUAUCUCAUUUUCUUUAUUUCAUAAGCAAUAAUCACUUAAUUUAAUUCACAUAUGCAUUUCAAACACAUAUUAAGCACAUAUUAACGUGUAUAAUUCACAUCAUCAACCCACAUAUUUGUAACCCACAUUUUCAUUCAUGUAUAAGCUGUAACCUGACCGAAAGUACACAUAUACUCAAACAUCCCAAUAAUAUCCUUUAUAACUCCAUCAUAUCUCACUAUUCAACGUAACCUAUUUCCAACAGAAAAUCAACUUCCACAUACCUGAACAUUGAAUUCAUUUAGCACAUUCAAUCACCGUUAACGAUACCCGUAUACAAUCGAUUUGGCAUCAAGCCUCAUAUUGUAUACCGGCAUGGGAUUUAUUUUAGCACAUAACCCAUAUAUCCAAAAUUAUCAGCAUUCAUCACAAAUUCUUACAGACUUUCAAAUGUCGAACUUAAUCGAAAUAAUUUCUUGAAUAUCAUUAACAAAAAAAAUAGGGGUCAUUUAGCAAUAGCACAUAUGACUUCAUAUACCAAGCAUUCCAUAGACUAAAUUCGUAACACAUUUAUAACAUGAAUUCAUUUCUUAACAAUAUAUCCACCAUCUUUUUACUUUCAUCUGAUUUUCUCAUACCUUCCGUACAUACCCGUAUCACUUAUUCUGAUCUUACUUUAUUUAUCAUCUUAAAUAUACCCGUUGAAUCAUUCGAAAUCAUUACGGAUACUCAUUAAGCACAUAUAGCUCUUAUAAUGUCAUAUUCUAGAUAUGGUCUUACAUAUUCUCACAUAUCGAGCCGAUGCCAUGUCCCAGACAUGGUCUUACACACUAUCUCAAAUCAAUGCCUUCGUCCCAGACGAGGUCUUACAUGAAUUCCACUUCACACACUUAGUGCCCAUUGACCGAUCUCGCACUCAUAGUGCUCGGUUAAAGGAAUUUGCGCACACACAGUGCCUCUAAUCAUUCACACACAUAGUGCUCUUAUUCAUUCGUUAUUACACAUUGAAAUUACUUAACCAAGUCUAUAAACAUCAUGUAUGUACACUUUUAAACAUAUCAUCUCAUUUAAAUUUGAAUUCGUAUAGUAAUAAACACUUAAACUUUGCUCAAAUUACCGGCACGAAGCCUACUAGGCACGAAGGCCCGAAUACACGUCACCAGCAUGAUUGCUCUUUGGGACCUAGCCCGGAUAUAACACCAGCACGAAUGAUUUUCGGAACUUAGCCCGGAUACAUCACUAGCACGAAUGCUCUUCGGGACUUAGCCCGGAUACAUCACUAGCACGAAUGCUCUUUGGGACUUAGCCCGGAUACAUCACUAGCACGAAUGCUCUUCGGGACUUAGCCCGGAUACAUCACUAGCACGAAUGCUCUUCGGGACUUAGCCCGGAUACAUCACUAGCACGAAUGCUCUUCGGGACUUAACCCGGAUACAUCACUAGCACGAAUGCUCUUCGGGACUUAGCCCGGAUACAUCACUAGCACGAAUGCUCUUUGGGACUUAGCCCGGGUAGCCACAUACAAAAAUCACAGUUAUAGUCAUAACACUCUUUCAAAAUUGCAUCACUUAUACCCUUAUAAUUCAAUCCAAAUCGAAAUUCAAAUACGAGUACAUGAUACGUACCUGAUCAACUUAAUAAUUUAGGCAUAUCUAAGUGAAGUUAUAUCGCAAAUUCUUAUAGUCAGAAGCUUGCUACAGCUCGAUCGGGAUCAAGAUUCAUUACAAUACAGCAAACACAUUUUAAUAGUCGAAAAUCAUCACACUAUCAUUUUAUCACUUUAUGGCAUGUAUAAAUAGACUCAAGCGUGCUACGUUAGUCCUAGAAUCGACUAAACCGUAGCUCUGAUACCAAUAAAAUGUAACACCCCUAUCCCGUAACCGUCGCCGGAAUAGGUAAGGGGCAUUACCGGACUUGUAACUCAUGUCAGAACAGUACAAUUUUAAACUUUUUCUUGAAAUAAAGAUCAUUCAUUUAAAUAAGUACUAAGCACAGCCAGAGAUAAAAUUUAAACUUCACUAAGUAAACAUUCAAAAGAUGCCAUUUUCGCAUGGCUUAUAUACAUUAACCAAAAAUAUUCUUCCGCCACUAGUCUAUUCUAUACAUGCCAUAAAAUAGUUCUAAACAUAAUAGUAACAAGCAGUGGAUAGUGAUAGUGUGACUAGUUGCUGACGAUCCCCGAGCCUGUAGCUUCGCAAUGAGAUCUAUAAAACAGAGGAAACAGAGUAAACGGAGUAAGCAUUACAAUGCUUAGUAAGUUUUAAGCAGUGUCAACAGAUAACAAUCAAAUUAUAACAUAGUUGUUCGUAUUUUUAUUUCACUCUUCCUUCGGGCAUACCAUCCCUUUACCGAAUAUGCACAUCUCAUCAUAUACAAUAGGCAGAUAAACUUUCACAUAAAAGUGAGCUCAUGUGACAUAGAUAUAUCGUAUGAUUUCACAUAACCUCUCACAUUGAUCCGAUGUCACAUAAUCAUAGGAAUAGUCUCAUAGAUUGCUCUCGUAUGCAUCACAUAACUACCUUAUGAUUUAGUGCAAAUCAAGCUCACAUAUAAACUUGGAGUACAUACCUGUUUAACCUUUCGCAUUGAAUAUAUUUAUAAGCAAUUCUUAUUACGAAGUCUUAUAGCUUUAACCUCUACUCGGAUUAUCGGUGAGACCUUUAGCUCAGACGAAAUCUCCACACGAAGUUAUCGGGUCUUACCCGGACAAAAUCUCCACACGUAGUCAUCGGGUCUUACCCGGACAUAAUCUCCACACGUAGUCAUCGGGUCUUACCCGGAAUAUAUUUCCAAGUUUCAUGUACAUUUAUUCACAUGUUACAACAUUCACAUCGACUGUCAUAUUUGUGAUUCAUUUGCCUCAUCAAAUAUCUGAUAAUACACAGCUUUCACAUUUGGUCGUUCGGCCACAAUAUACGCACCUCGCCUAUAUAUUCACACGAGCCAUUCGGCUUUACCACAUAUACAUAUCUCAUACAUAUUUCACACUAGCCAUUCGGCUUUACCACAUAUGCAUGUCUCAUACAUAUUUCAUCACAUUGGCCAUUCGGCCUUAUCACACAUAUGCAUGCUCACAUUCAUCACAUUGGCCAUUCGGCCUUAUCACAUACAUGCAUGUUCACAUUCAUCACAUUGGCCAUUCGGCCUUAUCUCAUAUAUGCACAUUCACAUUCAUCACAUAAAAUCCUAAAUCAAAAUAUAAAUUUUCAUGUAUUCACAUCACAAUUGUCCAAAUAUACUUCACAUACCACACAUACUAUCAUGUAUACACUUUGUCUUGGCCGAAUCUACAUCAAUCAUUUUCCAAUGAAUAAUUCAAUUUCACGCCAUACUAUCAUUUCAUAUUCGAAUACUCAUUUAUUGUUUUACAAUAUCACGAUUUAGAAUUCACGUAUGGGUUUAAUCAAUAGCUUAUGAGCAACUAAAACAGUUUUAUCCAUGUUUACAACAAAAUCACAUAUUCACUACGAGCUGUUUUUCCUGAGCAAUAGUCACUAAAUUAUUUAUAACUGGAGCUACGAAACUCCAAAUCACUUGCUGUUAAUUUUCCCUGAAUAUAGACUCGUAUGUCUUCCAUCCAUAAAAUUUCCAGAAUUUUAGGUUUGGCUAAUCAAUACCAGAUUUUUCUUAAAGUUUCCCCUGUUUCACUGUUUGCCUAAUCUGACCGCUCUUCACUUCGAAUCAAAUUUUUCAUUUUGAAGAAUUCAAAAUGUGUUCUAUUUGAUUUCAUUUGAAACUAGACUCAUUAAGGAGUCUAAGCAUAUAAAUUUUAUCUUAUAACCAUUUUUGUACAAAUUAUAAUGAUUUUUCUAAAAACAGAACAGGGGAUUUCGGAGUCAUUCUGACACAGUCCCGCACAACUUUAAAUAUCUCUUUAUAGGCAAUUUCUUUGCUUACACGGUCUCUUUUAUAAGAAACUAGACUAACUAAGCUUUGAUUACAUAUUUUAUUCAGCCUAUAAUUCCACACCAACAAUUUAUAGUGAUUUUCUAAAAUCACAUUACUGCUGCUGUCCAAAGCAAAUUAUUACAAUUUGCUCUUAAAUUUCCAAGUCCAAACACUUAUGAACUUACCAUUUGAGUUUAAGACAUAUCAUGGCCACAUCAUAUCUUAUUAAAUCAACUCAUUAUGUCCUAUUAUGAUUGAAUUUACUCAACGUUUAAUCACUUAAAACUUACCUCGGAAGUGGUCGACGAUUAGAUAUCCACGGCUAUUCGUUUACUUUCUCUUUUCCCCUAUCCGACUUUGAUCCUCUAAGCUCUUGAGCUAAAUCAAACAAUUUACUUCCCAAUCAAACACAAUCACACGGCAUCCAUAUACAUUUUAGAACCAUUCUUAACAUAUUUACUACUCAUUUACAAACGAAAUACUCAUAUCACAUUUAUAAAACUACCUUUCAUAAACACUAUGUAUAAAUAUGCAUUUCUUCACUAUUUACUAAGUCAAGCCAAACCACAUGAUUUAUUAAUCGUUAAUAUAUAUAUACAGCAUUAACAACUUCACUUAAGCUUAAGUAUAAAAUUUGGUCUUACCAAAUUUUGCACAUUUUACCAAAAUAAUAACUACCAAUUUUACACAUAAGUGCCGAAUCAAAUAAUACCACACUUACAAUAUCACUUGACUAAUGAAAUAUCCAAAAUAUCAUUCUAUCAUUUACCAAAUUCAUAAACCACAUAUAAGGCACAUUUUAAACUCAAGCAUGUAACUUAACAACUUAACCAUUAGUUGUCGAACCACAAACAAAACAUAUUCAUACGUUAAUAUCUCAAACCUUACCAUAACAACCAAUAUGCAAGAUAUCACAUAUACAUAACUUAGCUUAUGAGAACAUAUGUAUUACAUCAUAAACACAUCUUUUACCAAUUACCUCACUUAAGCCAAAUUUUUAUAAUCAACCACAAAAAAAUAUACCACAAAUCACACUUCCAAAAUGGGCUACUUCCAUGGCCGAUUAUACUUCAUCAUUAACAUAUCUCAUUUUCGAAUCAUAUAAUCAACAUUUGUUCAAGACAUCAAACCUCUUUAAUUUCGGCUAUUACUAAUAUAAACAUUCACAAAUCAUAUUCUUAGGAAGACCGAUUUCUUUCCAUAACACAUUCAUCAUCAAUACUUAGAUGAAACAAUCAAAAUCCCUUCCUUUAUACCCUAGCCGAAUGCUCCAAUCAUCCAUCAAAAUUACAAAUUUUAGCAUGGGCUAAGUAAGAACCAUGAUUAUUUACCUAAAACAAGUUAAAAUUUUACAAUUUGAUAUAAUAUACUAACCUUUUUAAUGACUCAAGUGACCAAAAAUUCUUCCCCUCCUUUGUUUCUUCUAUUCGACCAUGUUGAACAACAAAGAAAGAAUUUUGUUUUUCCUCCCCUUUCUCUAGUCACGGCAAUGGGGAGUAAGGGGGAGACAACUUUGGUUUCUCCUCCCACUCCCCUCAUAUUUUAUUAUUCUUCCCACACAUAUUAGCAUAAAAUGUCUAUAAUAUGUUUUUCCCCAUAGCAUGGCCGGCCACCAUCUAGAUUUUUGGCUAAUUUGACAUGCAAACCCUUCUUUUAUACAACAUGCAUUAAUAGGUCCUUAUAGAUUAACCCAUCGCAUUUCAAAAGUGUCACACAUAAGUCCUAUUACUAAAUUCACAUGCAAUCGACUAAAUCGAAACUUAAAACUUUCACACAUUCAUAUUCACAUAUAAUAAACAUAAAAUAUGACGGCUAAUUAUUUUUAUGACUUGAUUUUGUGGUCCCGAAACCACUUUUCGACUAGGGUCAAAUUAGGGGUGUCACACUCCACUCUGAUGUUCCCCCCGUCAUAACGUUUGCCACUUCGUGUAUGGGAACCUUCAUUUUGCGUGCCUCUGGCUGUGCUGGCUAUACUCUCCCCCUCAAGUAUUGUUAUACUGCAGUCAUACUCCAUGGUACCCUCUUGUCAUCCUUGUAAGAGAAAGGAUUGGGUUUAUGGAUGACGAUUUUGGGCCCAUUUUGCGGCCCCACCUCAUUAUUCCCUGGCAAAGAAAUAAUAAUUCUUGGUUGGUUGGUUCUUUUUCGUUCAUUCUCCAGCACACAAAUUUGUCCUUCACAAGAACUUCCCUCAGAAACCUGUAGUUCUUUGUUAACCAUAAGGCCUUGUACCAUGGCCCUGAACUGUUCAGAAUUUUGGAUCAUAUAACCCACCUCUCCAUGGAAUUCACAAUGGUUCUCUAUUCCUUCACUUCCUUUUCUAGAGGUCAACAUAUCUCUCUUCACCAUCUCCUCCCAUAUUACUUUCAUAGGUGUCUUCACCUCAGCAAUAUCUUCCUUGAUUUUUCCUUUCUUUCUUUCAUCGAUGGCAUUCACUCCUUGAUUGCCAUGAUCUGAAAACAGAUUUCCAGUAUUAGGAGUACUAUCGAAUUUCACAACCCCCAUCUUAAUAAGCCUCUCCACAACCUUCUUGAAUCCGGUGCAGUUUUCAAUUGAAUGCCCCGGUACUCCUGCGUGAUAUUCACACUUAGCAUUUGCAUCAUACCAUUUGGGGAAUGGUGGCUGCAGUGGUUUCAAGUGAAAUGGAGCGGUGGCAUGUGCAUUGUAUAAGCUUUGAUAAAGCUCACGAUACGUCACGGGGAUAGGCGUGAAUUGUAUCCUCUCCGAAUUUUGUCUUGUACUCGAUUCCUGUCUUUGAGUGCUUUGUUGCUCAGCUUUGGGUUGACCAAUUGUAACUGCUCUCGAGUUGAGGCUAUUCACCUCGUUGUCCUUUCUCCUUGGGGUCGACCUUUUAGCCGCUUCCCCCUCGAUUUUAUCGUCCCUCACGGUAUUCUCAAUCAUCUCACCUGCCAUAACUAUAUCCGUGAAACUCUUCGUGGUACUUCUAAUCAUAUGAGUGAUGAAUGACGCCUUCCAAGUAUUAAUAAAUAACAUGGUGGUCUCAUUUUCCAACAAUAGUGGUUGUACUUGCAUCGCCACCUCCCUCCAUCGUUGUGCAUAUUGCCUAAAACUUUCAUUAGGCUUUUUCUCCAUAUUUUGAAGUGUGAUCCUAUCUGGCGUCAUAUCACUCACAUGGUUGUACUGUUGCAUGAAGGCCUGUGCCAGAUCUCUCCAUGAACCGAUUCUUGCACGGCUCAACUGAUUGUACCAUCUGGCCACUACUCCUACUAAACUGUCUUGAAAACAAUGGAUCAAUAAUUGAUCAUUGUUCACAUAUCCAGUCAUCCUCCUACAAAACAUUGUUAUGUGUGCCUCUGGACAAGUAGUCCUGUUGUACUUUUCAAACUUUGGCAUCUUAAAUUUAUGAGGAAGCACCAAAUCUGGGACCAAACUUAAGUGUUUGGCAUCAAUCCCAUGAUAAUUUCUAGCGCCUUCUAAAACCCUAAACUUCUCCUCUAACCACCUGCAACGACCUUCCAAUUGUUUCGCAAAUUCAGUUGCCAUUCUUUCCUUUUCCAUCAAAUCCAAAUCAAGAGUGAUAGGGUUGACCGAGCUAUCACCCAAAUUAUUUUCCAACCCAGAUGGGAAAUUAUCGGGGAUUCUAGCAUCAACUGGCCCAUGUUGAGGCCUUACGGUGACAGAUGGCCUUCUAGGAGGUGCCUCGGUUUGCAGUGGCACAUGAGGCGGAGUAAAACCCGGAGGAGGACCUUCAUUCUCCUCUUCAGUGAUCGCCAUGGGAGCUUUUCCUUUAUCAAUGGCUCUCAGCAGCUGAGCCAUUUCAGCCAUCAUGUUCCUCUGAGCCUCUAGCAUUUGCUCCCUCAUUUCAUUCUGUAUUUUGGCCAACUGCUCUUGCAUUUGGUCUUGCAUAUCUUUUUGUAAUUACUCGAACCUUUGAUCCAUACUCUUAGUUUUUGUGCGAGUGCCGUAAGGAUGUGUGAUUUCUAGAUUUUCUUUUCUACCUUCGGAAGUAAACUUUAACUAAUCAGGGUCUUUCUAUAGCUUUGAAUGUAAACGAUAUGAUGAAAUUCCAUGAGAUGCAAAUGCAUGAAUGCAAAAAGGAGAUCGAUUAUGGUUCAACUUCAUUUAGAAAAUUUUAUUUAGAAAAAGAAUAUCUUUACAUAUAAGAGGAUUACAAAUACGCUUUCGCUCUAAGGCCCAAAGCUUUAACUUUACCUAAUAAAAAGGCUAACUCUCGUCCUAUAUCCGAUGAUGAUGAAUACAUCAGACUCAAUACAUCAGCUCGAACUGCCAAGUCUUGCACAUAUUCAGCGACCUCUCGAAUCUGGGCUAUGGCCUCACCAAUGACAUGAUCCCUUUCUCUGACUUGUCCCCUAGCCUGAUGAAGCUCUCCCUUCAGAUAAUCUUCUUGCGCCUCGAGCUGCUCAACCCGGAGUUCACCGUCAUGCAAUGCCACUUCCAAAUCCUCAACCUUGCUUUUUAGCCCCUUUAACUCGACCGUAGAGUUAUGGUUUUGGUGCCAACGUAAGGAUCUUCCAAGCUCAAUUACCCUAGUCUUCAACCCUUUAUUCAUUUCCUCUAAUGCCAAAUUCUGCAUCUGUAUCUCUUGGAACUUCCUCUCCUAAUACUCAGCUCUAGCCUUUUCCUCUUGGACCUCUUUCUGCAACUAAUCUGAAGAUCCUCCUACUCUCGCCCUCCUCAAGGAUACUUGUGACCUUCUGUAAUGUUCCUUUAGAUCAUCUCGAUCUUCCUCUUUUCUUUCCUCUCUUUCUCGACCUCUAUUUUUUGAACCUCGACGUCCAAACUCAAGUACAUCUUUUCUUCUUCGAGCUUUGCUAUCCUCUUCUCGAACUCCAAGUUCUUUCUCUCGAACUCCUGCUUCAUAAUUUCUAACUCUGAGGGCCUUACUUGCCAAUAUUCCUCUAUCGAUCGAGCUCCUUCCACGCUUGGCUUAGGGAUGUUAUCGUUAACCAUUCUGCCUCUCCAUUCAACGUAUUCCGGUGUGGUUGCAAGGCUAAUAGCUACUCCUUUCAACUGACAAGUCUUUUUCCAAGCACUAGAAACUUCACUAACCCUCCUCUUGUAAUCGGCUCCUCUGUAUACAAAACUCACUUUAAGCCAACCCCUGAGUCGCUGGUACGAACUGUCUCAAUCCAUGCUGCCUCAGCACGAGAAAAGGGGCAUAACCAAUGGCACCCCAAAUUCCUAGCAGGGGGACCCAAUCAAAACUGCUGCAUCGGUAAAGAACUUCACCAGGAAUCAUCCACAGAGCCCUCCACUCGACAUCUUUAGACUGAAUGUUCUAAAGUAGCGCAAUCCAAUUUUCUUCUGGAACAUCAACUCUCCUAGUUGAAGCUACUAUGUCUUUUAACGGUGAAUAAUCUUCGAAUAAGACCCGAUAAACCACCCUAUCUAUCAACCAAAAAUGACUGUAAAACCAAGCCAAAGUAACUGAGCACACCCUAUAAACCUGCCAGCACCAGCCCUCCUACAUGCACCUAAAGACCUGAAUGUUUCUGCCAAAAUUGCAGGGACAGAAGUGACUUUUUUACGGAGUCGAUGAAAAAGAUCCGUGGUUGCCUCAUCCACAUAUCCCAAAGCCCUAGGGAAAACCAUUAAUCCAUACAAACUUAAGGCAAAAACAUCUACCUUCUUCAUCUCGUCAAGGUGUGUCAGAAUCAAAUCUUUCAAAGCGUCCCAUGAAAUGCACUUGCACUCACCUUUCUCUUUAAUUCGAGCCGCGGUCCACUGUUCGCUCAUCCCCAUAAUAAUCAUCAGUUUUUUCCAAAAGGUAGGGACACAAGCAGCUCGAGAAUAGAUCCUAUUAUUUUGAAAGUUGAGACAACGAAGCAAGGUAGUGUACUCCUCCAUAGUAGGUACCAAGUCUACUUCCCCAAAAGUGAAACAAUUGUACGCCGGGUUCCAAAACUGAGCAAGGGCUCGAAAUAAGUGCUCGUCUACCUGAACAUCAAGCAAGUAAGGUAAGUCUCCAUAAUUAUCGUAGAAUAACUGCUUAGUCUUUUUGCCCCACUGAUCCCAAAUCUCCUUAAGCUCUUGGAGAUUAUUCUGCGUGACACUAAUACAAGUGUAAUCUGACAGCUUCGACACGUAUCCCACAGCUAUACUAUCUCCCUUUUCUAGUUGAGUUUGCUCAGACCAUCUAUGGACAUUGGCGUUGCCUUCCACUCUAUCAAGAAGUCCGUUCUCCAUAAUAAAACUUCCUAACUUAGAAACUGACCGUGAAUCGAUACCUUUCAAAUGCAACAUGACAUGCACAAAAAGAAAAGAGAUAGUCAGUAUCACAUGAUAUCAAUAAAUUUCAGCGAUAAUUCAUAAGGGUAAUAUCUAAAGUUUAAACCUAACUAAGUUGGGCUUUUACGGUUUUUCGAUAUGAAGUUGGUUCUAAAGUUUGCAGUACCCAAACCAGCAGAUUCCUCGAUUCUCACCCAUUAUAGGCUCAUUUGAAUCGAGUUCAGUUCGGGGGAAUACAUUUCCCUAUGGCUACAUGGAGAUGAAAAUCUCACGAAACCAUAAGUACGGAUGUAUUCCGAAAGUGAUCCACUAUCCUGCACAGAGGCGAAAACCUCACGAAGGCGUAGUUUCUCACUCUCACUUAAGGGUAUGACCACAAUGGUCAUGCAAAUGCAAUGUGUAUCAGAAUAUAGCAACACAUGCAAUAAUACAAACACAUGCAAUGCAAAGAGGAUUAAAUUUUAGAAUUUUUAAUUUCCGACACUAAGACAAGAGAUAAUCAAUUACACAGCUUGAUUCUCUUAUUGGUCCCCAGUGGAGUCGCCAAGCUGUCGAGACCAUUUUUAAAUCGAGUUUUAGGAAAACGAGAAUCGACUUUAAAAUGAAAAUAGAAGUCGCCAUCAAUCUUUUUAGGUGUGAUUGGAUCACCUUUAAAACAUUUUGUUUUAAAAUCAUCAGUUUUGGUCUACGAAAUCAGAAAACGGGUUCGGGAGCCGGUUACAUACGAGGAAGGGUUAGCACCCUCGUAAAGCCCAAAAAUUAGUACCUAAUUGAUUAUCAAGCGUCUUUAAUGUCGGAAACUCAAAAAUUUUAAGAUGUAGUCCUCUUUAAAAUAUUUUAGUUUUGAAAAUUAGGGUUUACUCGUAUCAAAGUAUUGACACUAAGUUAGCUUUUUUGAAAUACCUAUCUCGAAACAUCAAAACGCCAUAUCCAAUAAGUUAGGACAUAUUGCUUUGAAAUUCCAAGACAGUUGCUUGCAUUUAGAAAACCUUUAAAAACUUAGAAGGGUACUUGAUUAUUCGAACUUAACGAGAAAAGUCGCAACCCAAUAAGUUAAGGCACUACUUUUCUCGAAAUUCCCAAACACCAAGCAUUGCCUUUAUACUUUUUAGAAAACUUUGGAAUUUUAUUUUUAAUUAAUGCAUGAGAAAUCACAUUAUCAUUAUGGAAUAGAAUAUUGAAUAAUAAGUGAAUAAAACAUACAUUUAAACGAUACAAUAGCAAUAAUACAAAUAUCAUAUACUAGAUACAUACAUGUUUAAAAUUACAUAACAUCAUAUAUACAAAGAUACAUAUAGCUUAUAUUGAAGAUGGAUAAGCCAAACAUACAAACAUACAUAGUAAUAAUUAAGAAAUGAUGCAUUUACACAAUUAAAAGAAAUAUACUAUCAAUGUACAUGUUCAUAAAAUAUAACAUUAAAUAAUAAUUAUAAGAUAACAUUUAAUACAUAAAAUAUAUAUAAAAUAUAUAAAAGAAUUAGUAUAUAUAAAAAAUAUAAAAUAAAAUGAGUAAUUGUUAAUGAAAUAUACUUAUAAUACAAAAAAAAUAUGGUAUUUAAUAAUUUAAAAAUAGCAUCUUAUAUACAAUAUAUAAUAUAUAAUAACAAAAUAAUAAUUAUUAUAAAAUAAAAUAUAUUUGUGUUUUAAGAAAAAUAAUAUAUAAAAUAGAAAGUAUAUAAAAUAAUUUACAAAAUAAUUACAUAAUAAAUAAAAAUAUCACAUAAAAAAUAAUUAAUAAUGAAGUAUAUAUGUAAUAUGAGUUAAAAUAUAAUUUAAUAAUGAUAACUUACAAAUUUUAAAAUUAUAAAUAAUAUAAUGAGUAAUAUAAAACAUAUAUAUAAUAUGAUAGAUAAUAUAUAAAAAUAUAUAUAAUAAAUUUUAUACAAUAAAAUAUAAUAUAUAUAGGAAAAUAAUAUAUGAUAAAAGAUUUUAAAUGUAUAAAUGGUAUUUUUAAUAAUAAUAAAUAAAUUAUAAAAAUAAAAUAAUAAAAUUUAAAAAUAAUAAAGAAAGGAUUAAAAUUGAAUUUAAAUAAAAUUAUAAGGCUAAGUUGCCAAAUAAUAUAAAUUCUGGGCCUAAUUUGCAAAAGUAAAAAAAACCGACAAAGGACUCAUUGGGCAAAUUGCCCUAAUCCUAAACGACGCCGUUUCCCAUAAUAUAAUCUAAGAACUGUUGGGACUAAAUUGCAACAAUUAUAAAAUAUUAGGGUCAAAUUAAAUAAUAAAAUAGAACCAAAUUGAAAAUUCAGAAAACACAGGAGGAUCAAUUGGGCAAUUUGCCCAUUUUCCAAAAAACACGCGGAUCCUCCCCGGGUCACGGGUCAACGCGCUGAUCCUAUGCUUUAAAACGACACCGUUUUAGGCUUAUUGACUUAAGCCUAAACGGCACCGUUCCUCAUAGGCUAUAUAAGUCAAAAUCUAACCUAAAAAUCAUUUAGAAACCUGAUUUAAAAAAAAAACUAAAAGAAACCCUCUGAAAAUCCCCUAGCCCUCUGAGCUCCGGCCCUAGGCCGGUCUACUCCGUUCAUCGGGCCUCCGUGCCCAUCCUCACGCGCCGUCGCCGACUCUGUCAUACACGGCGGUCGGGAUCUGAUACAGUUUGCUUUUCUCAGACAAUCUAGAAGGUAUAUUUCUUUCCUCUAUUUUGAUGUAUUAUAUGCUGGUUAUUUACAAUAAAGUAAAAGAGAAUAAAAAGUAGAGUAAGAAUAAUCGAUCACCUUCGUUUCUCGCGAAAUAUUUCUGAUAUAUUAUUGCAAAGGUUUGGUGUACAAUGAUUUCGUGAUGUGUUUCUCUAUCUCUUUUGUGUAUACUCUCUGUUUCUAUCUAUGUGUAUUUGCCCUCUGUCUCCCUGUCUUUUUCUCUGUAUAUCUAUGUGUAUUCGCCCCCCUUUUCCAAAUGAAAGGGAAGGCUUUAUAGCCUUAAUCCUUUACAUAUUCUGGGAAAGAAAUCUCCGAUUUCUUUCUAUUUUUUGUCCACUGUAUCUUUGACCGUGAUCUGCUGAGAUUCUUUUUAGUUUCCUUUUUCUUGCUCUAUGUAUCUGCUGUGUUUCCUUUUCUGCUUCGUGUCCUUUGUCUUGUCUUGCAGGUAUUUGCGAGAAAUCCGACGGUGGCAAAGGCUUGAUGAUGGUCCACUGGUUGCGUUGAUCUCGGCGUGACUCGGAGCCUUAGGAUUGUGGCAUUGCUGGAGAGUGGCUGGAACGACGCGUCUGUUGGGAUGGCUUUUGGAAUCUUCUGCUUGCGGCGCAAGGAGAAAGAGAGGCAGAAACCCUAGGGUUUCAUGCCUCGGUGUAACAGUUUGGGCCAGUUGGGCCACUUUAGUCUUGGGUCCAUUUGGGUCUGUUGUAAUGGGUCUUAGGAGUAAGAUUUUAGAAAUGGGCUAGUAAUGUAACGGGUUUGGGUCUGCUGAGUUGUAACCGGGUAUAAGGUUUAGGCCAAUUGGUUUUGGGUCUACUGGUUGGUGGGCCAAUGUAAAUGGACUGUUACAUGGACUGUUUUAAAAACAAUUAUUUAU